UACGGAGGGUGCUAGCGUUGUCCGGAUUUACUGGGCGUAAAGCGUCUGUAGGCUGUUUGGCGCGUCUUGUGUGAAAGGCUUGAGCUUAACUCAAGCAUGCCGCAAGAUACGGCCUGACUUUGAAAACUUUCGGGGGUGUUGGAACUGACGGUGGAGGGGUGAAAUCCGUUGAUAUCGUCAGGAACACCGACGGCGAAGGCGGACACCUAGAAAGAUUUUGACGCUGAGAGACGACAGCUAGGGGAGCGAAAGGG
rnacentral:misc_RNA from 1 species